rnacentral:rRNA from 1 species
GAUGAACGCUGGCGGUGUGCCUAAUACAUGCAAGUCGAACGGGCUCUUCGGAGCUAGUGGCGGACGGGUGAGUAACACGUUGGUACCUACCCCUAAGUGGGGAAGUAACUGCCCGAAACGGGUAGGCUAAUACCGCAUAGUCCCGCAAGGGUAAAGGCAGUAAUGCGCUUAGGGAGGGGCCGUNCGUCUGAUUAGCUAGUUGGUGAGGUAAUUGCUCACCAAGGCGACGAUCAGUAGC